GAACCUAACAAAUGUGAACUGUCAAAGAACUCUGAUAUGGAACAGUCUUCAGAUAGCAAAGUCAAAAAUCUCUUUGUUUCCUUUCCAACGGAAGAAUCUUCAAUCAACUACACAUUUAAAACACCAGAAAAGGAAUAUGAAAAGCAGUCAGAGCAACUGGAUGUGGAAAAAGAACGUGCUGAUAAUUUUGAGCAUCAUAUUGAAGACCUUACAAGACAAUUAAGAAAUUCGACUUUGCAGUGUGAAAAAAUAAAUUCUGAUAAUGAAGAUCUCCUGGCUCGUAUUGAGACACUACAGUCUAAUGCCGAAUUAUUAGAAGUACAGAUUUUAGAAGUCCAGAGAGCCAAAGCAAUGAUAGACAAAGAAUUAGAAGCUGAAAAACUUCAGAAAGAAGAGAAGAUAAAGGAACAUGCCACUACUGUAAAUGAACUUGAAGAACUUCAGGUACAACUUCAAAAGGAAAAGAAACAGCUUCAGAAAACCAUGCAAGAAUUAGAGCUGGUUAAAAAGGAUGCCCAACAGACCACAUUGAUGAAUAUGGAAAUAGCUGAUUAUGAACGUUUGAUGAAAGAACUAAAUCAAAAGUUAACUAAUAAAAACAACAAGAUAGAAGAUUUGGAGCAAGAAAUAAAAAUUCAAAAACAGAAACAAGAAACCCUAGAAGAAGAAAUAACUUCAUUACAGUCUUCAGUACAACAAUAUGAAGAGAAAAACACCAAAAUCAAGCAAUUGCUUGUGAAAGCCAAAAAGGAACUGGCAGAUUCAAAGCAAGCAGAAACUGAUCACUUAAUACUUCAAGCAUCUUUAAAAGGUGAGGUGGAGGCAAGCCAGCAGCAAGUAGAAGUCUAUAAAAUUCAGCUGGCUGAAAUAACAUCAGAGAAGCACACAAUCCACGAGCACCUGAAAACCUCUGCGGAACAGCACCAGCGUACGCUAAGUGCGUACCAGCAGAGAGUGACAGCACUACAGGAAGAGAGCCGUGCUGCCAAGGCAGAACAAGCUACUAUAACCUCUGAAUUCGAGAGCUACAAAGUCCAAGUUCAUAACGUUCUAAAACAACAGAAAAAUAAAUCUGUGUCUCAGGCUGAAACUGAGGGCGCUAAACAAGAAAGACUGAUUCUGCUAUGGAAAUACCAGGGGUUCCAUCUAGGUCCUGCUGCUCACCGAACAGAACACCAAUCACUGAGUGAUUAUUUCCAAGGAAGAAGGCUUUAACUGGGUGCUGCAGCCUAGGAGAUGGGAGAUCAGUCUCAAAUCCACCUCCCUGAUGGACUAAAAUUAGGGGUUUACAUAGCAGGGAAGAAAAGUAACAAUGUGUAGGAAAACAGGAACUAGGGAGGGGUAAGGAAACAAUUGUGAUGAAUGAGGGGUCUGGCAUCUCAUUGGCUGAUGCAAUGAUCUGGUGAGUUGCAGUUCUUUGAUACUGUUUUUUGAGAGGUCUGAGGGUCUUUUCCCAGGGAAGGAACUUAGAUAAAACAAAUACAAAUUUCAAGCUUUAGCAUCAGAAGGGUCAAUUCCUAUGUUUAUCCGAAACAAAACAAACAAACAAAAAAUCUGUCUAUGGGACUAUUGGGUCGGUUUCAAUUCAAUAGCACUCCAGGCCUGCAGGUCACUGUCACUGCAGGACAGCCCUAGCCUCCAGCAUGGGCAAUGCCUUCCCAUGCCUGGACCCUGGGCCUGCCUCUGCUUCAAGCAUUCCCUCAUGUAGUGGAGUAUAUCUGUCCUUAAAAGAAAAAUGGGGACAGGAAGGUAAAGUUUUUUGAGAUUUUAUUCUACCCUCACCCUAGACUGAUGGUGGUUGCUUAGAUGUAGAAUUUUAGUUUGAAGCCAUUUCCCCUAGAAUUUGAAGAUGUAUAAUCCUUGUCUUCUGGUGGUCACUGACAAGGAGUCUGACCCACUCUGAUUCCCAGUCUUUCCCCAAGGCUUUGACUGUGUCUUUUUUUUUUUUUUUUCUUUCUUUAACUUAUUGGAAGCUGUUGAGAUUUUCUGUGUCCUUGGUGUUCUGAGAUUUCCUGUGACCCCUGAAUUGUCAUUCCUCCCUAGCUCUGGGUGCUUGGUGAACCCUCUCCAUCUACAAACUCACAUCCUUCCAUUCCAGAAGUUGUCUCUUAUGAUGGUUUGCUUCAUUUCUUUUCCCCACUUUUCUCCGUUUAUUCAUUCUUGAAGUCCCUUCCAGAUAUUGGACUAUCUGAACUUAUUGGCUGUUUGUUUAUUAUUUUUUUAUUUUUUUGAGACAGGGUCAUUCUGUCACCAGGCUGGAGUGCAGUGAUGCAAUCUCGUCUCACUGCAACUUCUGCCUCCUGAGCUUAAGUGAUCCACUGGCCUCAGCCUCCUGAGUAGCUGGGAAGAUGGGCAUGCGCCACCACAGCAGGCUAAUUUUUGUAUUUUUAGUAGAGAUGGGGUUUUGCCAUGUUGCCCAGGCUGGUCUUGAACACCUGAGCUCAAGCAAUCUGCCCACCUUGGCCUCCCAAAGUGCUGGAAUUAUGGGCAUUAGCGACCACACCUGGUCAUUUGCUAAUAUUUUAAAAAUCUUGUUUCAUCCUUUUUUCUCGGUUAUUGUUCUAUGUUUGUGAUAUUUCCUGAUGUUAUUUUCUAAUCCUUUUAUUGACUUCUACAUAUCUGCUCUCACAUUUUUAAUUCCUAAGAGCCCUCUUGUCAAAAAUUUUGUCUAUAACCUCUUGUUCUUGUCUCAUGGGUGCAAUAUCUAUCCUUAGCUCUUUAAGGAUGUUAAUUCUAUUGGUUUUUUUGUUUGUUUGUUUUUGCUCUUUGCCUAUUUCUCUCCCCCUCACCAGCUUCCUUUUACUUUAAUCUUUGUGGUUCAUGUUAGAAGCAUUUCUCAAAUGUCUGAUGAUCCUUGGCUAUCCAUUUGUCAUUAAGAGUGGGAAUUCUGUGAGGGUAGGUGAGGCUUAUUGGUUGGUGCACUUCACUUACAGUUCUCUGGCUGGGCUGUUUCACUGGGAAAUCCCCAAAUGUAAAUGGUAGGUGUUUUCUCUCAGGCAGGUUAUUUCUCUUUUUUUUUUUUUUUUUUUUUUUUGAGGCAGAAUCUGGCUGUGUCACCCAGGCUGGAGUGCAGUGGUGCGAUCUAGGCUCACUGCAACCUCUGCCUCCCGCGUUCAAGCGAUUCUACUGCCUCAGCCUCUCAAGUAGCUGGAUGACAAGAAUACACCACCACGCUCAGAUAAUUUUUUUGUAUUUUUAGUGGAGACAGGGUUUCACCUUGUUGGCCAGGCCAGUCUCCAACUCCUGACCUCAAGUGAUCUUCUCGCCUUGGUCUUCCAAAGUGCUGGGAUUACAGGCAUGAGCCACCAGGUCCAGACCUAUUCCUGUUCUUCUUUUUUCUUUUUCUUUUCUUUUUUUUUUUUUUUUUUGAGACAGUGUCUCACUCUGUCACCCAGGCUGGAGUGCAGUGGCGUGAUCUCGGCUCACUGCAAGCUCCGCCUCCCGGGUUCAUGCCAUUCUCCUGCCUCAGCCUCCCAAGUAGCUGGGACUACAAGCGCCUGCCACCACGCCCGACUAAUUUUUUAUAUUUUCAGUAGAGACGAGGCUUCACCAUGUUAGCCAGGAUGGUCCAAAGUGCUGAGAUUACAGGCAUGAGCCACCGCACCUGGCCUCCUGUUCUUCUUAAGGAAGAUGGUUUUGUCAGUCUUUCACGGCUGCUAUAUAACAAGAGGCCUUCCUAAGUGGAUCAGAAGUCCUGGUAAUGAGGAAAGGUCUUUAAACAUGGAUGUUGGAUGACAAGAAAAGUCACCUUGGAUGUGAGUGACUGAAGGAUGGAUGGCGGCCACAUCACAGAGGCGGUCAGUCUUCAGAACUUAUGGAGCAUUCGCAAUCCGUAGAGCACCGACUGGGCUGGAGCUGGGGGGAUGGAGAGGAAGACUGAAGUGGCAUAUGGAAUGAGGACUGAUUCCGGGCCAAAUUUCUCCUUGUUACUAGUUUCUUAAUGUCUUUGACUCCUAGUUUGUUGCAAAUGGAGGAAGAGGAAAGAAAUGUAACUUUCAUCUUUUACCCCUUUUAUUUUUUAUAUUUAUUUAUUUAUUUUUUUUGUGAGACAGAGUCUCACUCUGUUGCCCAGGCUGGAGUGCAAUGGCAUGAUUUCGUCUCACUACAACCUCCACCUCCUGGGUUCAAGCGAUUCUCCCUGCCUCAGCCUCCUAAGUAGCUGGGAUUACAGGUGCACACCAUCACACUCAGCUAAUUUUUGUAUUUUUAGUAGUGAUGGGGUUUCGCCAUGUUUGGUCAGGCUGGUCUCGAACUCCUGACCUCAAGUGAUCUGCUCACCUUGGCCUCCAAAAGUGCUGGGGUUACAGGCAUGAGCCACCACGCCCGGCUCACCUCUUUUAUUUUUAACACCAUGGGUUCAUAAAUGGGUGAGUGAGACAUCUGUGUGUGUGUAUAGGGGAAAUUGUUUCUGUAACAUUGCUUAGAAAGAAUGUUGUGGUAGUUACUACCAAGGUACUGCCUUCACAUUUUAACUACCAAGUUCAUCACAACUCUUGAUAAAUACAACAAGGUCAUAUCAAUUAUUGAUGUUUUCUUGGUUUGUGUGGUAGGUUUGAACACAAAGGCUCUCAUCUGUAUGAUUAUUCUACCAGGGAAUGGGCCUCAGCUCCAGGUCACUUGGUGUCUAUGGUAGAGUCAUCAGGAUUUUAAGAAAAUAAACAAGGGGGCUGGGCAUGGUGGCUCAUGCCU